UCACAGUAAUUUAAACUUGAAACAUAACUUUAUCCAUCACACUUCUGUAAGACUCCCGAAGGGAGACCCUCACUCAAAUCUCGGGAAUAGCGCACACCCAGUGAGGCACCGAGACCG
rnacentral:pre_miRNA from 11 species